CCGUCCUUUUUUUUCUUCGUCUUUUGGACCGAGGGAUUUACAGAGGCAGUCGACUGUCAAGGUUCCAGGCGCUUCUGGUCCACUGACCAUAAUUAAGCACCUCUGUGGGUCCGAAGGGGGCCCAUUACAGGAUCGUUUCUAUAUGGGCCGGUUCGCCGAGCCGCGCCAUGCUCGUCUUCAGGCUCCGGAGUCCGGACGGAGUCGCGGGCCGUGGCCCUGCCUCAGUAUUUCCUCUUCCCCGCGAUAGGCAACAGAAACCGCAGCAUAACAAGGAAAGCGAAGCGAACCCUCGCCGCGCGAGUUAGCGAUGGCCGGAGAGGACGCCGCCGCCGCGAGGAGGCCCCCGAAGGAGGAGGAGGAGGAGGAAGAUGACGACGAUUUGGACAACGUUCCGCUGGCACUUUCCAGGGCCAAGAAAACCGGGUAAUGCGAGCGCCUCCAAGGUCAAGAAGGAGGAGGAGGACGAUGACGACGACUUGGACAACGUUCCGCUCGCACUUUCCAGGGCUAAGAAGGGAAACGAGAAGCAGAAAGGCAACAAUAGCAAUAUGAAGGCUUCUUCGAAAGUCAAGAAAGAAGUCAGUUCUGAUGAUGAUUUUGUCAUGCCAACGGCGCAGAAGAAAAGUGCAGGUGCUGCUGGAAGUAAUGCCAAGACAUCCAAGGUUAAAAAAAUUAAAGAUGAAGAUUUGGAAGAUCUCAAGGAGGACAAGAAAAGGAAGAAACGAGUGGGUGUCAAAGAAGAGGCAAAGUUGGCCUUGGCCAUUGUAAAGGGAGAGAAGGUUAAGAAAGAGAGGAAAGUGUAUGGUUUGCCAGGGCAGAAGCAUGAUCCUCCUGAAGAAAGGGAUCCAUUGAGGAUAUUCUAUGAAUCACUCUAUGAGCAGGUCCCCACCAGUGACAUGGCUGCAACCUGGUUGAUGGAAUGGGGUUUUGCUCCCGGUGGAUGUGGCUAGAAAAUGUUUUGAGAAGAAACAAGGUCAGAAGGUUAAGUCACCAGUCAAAGCAAUUGUGGCGAAGAGAAUUCCUUCUUCUCCAGCCAAGACACUGCCUUCAUCUGCAAAGAAGUUAGUUAUGCCUUCAAAACAGUGCUGGAAAGCUGAAGUCUCAGAAGAAAAGGAAGGCAAGUGAUGACACAGAUGAUGACGACGACGACGAUGAUUUUGUAGCUUCUAAAGCAAAGACCAAGAGGCACAAGGCCUAGUUAGGUCCUAGCAUCUCAUUAUCCUAGUAAUGAGACGUGUUCUUCAGACAAUUUCUAGCUCGGAUGACCUUGGAUGAUUGUUCCUUCCAUUGGUUUGCUCAUUUGGGGCGCGCAACUAAAUUAUGUGAAGUAGCGUGUUGUGUUGUGUCAAGAAGUACCACUUGUCGAUGGCCUUUUCAGAUCUGGAAUGAAGGUAAGUUCCUGCAAACUUUCACUUGGUUAGCA